CUAAUUCCAUUUCUACUAUUUAUGGUGAUUUUUCACAUUCACGUCACUGCUGCUGUCAAAGAAACUGCUUCUUUGAAUUAGUUACCAUUUAAACAUACAUAACUCCAAAACAUAUUCUUUAAUAACUACUUCAAUAGCUAACAUUAGCCAUAUCAUUUGGACAUGCUCAAAAUGAUUAAGACUCUAUACAUGCCAUAGUUUAAACAUUUUGAAAAGCACAUAAUACCGAGAUGGUUAUGAUAGUGUGAUACGAGCUCCGACGGUCCACUAUUCGAUCAAGUUCAAAUCACUAUAAAACAAAGGAAAGAAAGAGAUGUGUAAGCUAUAAAUAGCUUAGUAAGUUACAUGUAAACAAUAAUUACUCAACUAAUAAUUAACACUUUUAACAUAUAACUAAUCAAAAUAUUUCUUAGCAAUUUCAAUCACUUACACAUACACAAUCUUACCAAUUCACUUGCAUAUACAUUUUCACACUUAACAUUUCAUAUUCACUUUAAUUCAUUAUUAAUCCCGUUGAACACUUGGAAUAUACACGGAUACGUAGAGAUUUAGCACAUAAGUGCCACACUGAUAUGUAGCCGAAGCUACCACUGAUAUGUAGCCGAAGCUACCACUGGAUGUAGCCAAAGCUACCACUGAAAUGUAGCCGAAGCUACCACUGAUCAAUAACACUGGAAAUGUCCACGGGUCUGCUCACACAAGCUGUCAGGUGUCUGCAACACAUGCUAGAUCACCCAGCACCCGGGACUCACUGUAACACUGUAACACUGGUCUCUAGUGACAUGUCACUUGUAUCCAAUUCUAUUCCUAAGUUCAACCGGGAAUUUACACUUAACACUUUAUUUUCAACACUUUAUCACUUGAAUAAUUCAUGAACAACUUUCCUUCCACAUUCAAUAUUAAUUCACAUAUCAAAUAUAAUUCACAAUUUAUACAAAUAUAACUAUUAUUUACAUAUAACUUACCUCGGAUGCAAAACGACUAUUUUUGUAAUUUAGUCGAUAACUUUCUCUUUUCCCCGAUCACUUGCACUAUUUCUUCUUUCUUGAUAAUUGAGCUUAGGAAAAUCAAAACCCUUAACUAUGGUAACCUGAAACUUUCGGCAGCAAGCUUCUGAUUUUUUUUUGAAGAAGAUGGACACUUAUUUUCUCUUUAUUUUGUCUUUUACCCAAUUUGGACAAAAAUGCCCUUGACCCAUUACUUAGAUAUUUUUCUAGAAAUACCCUUUUGUGUCCAUAACACUAAUUUAUGGUCUAAUUGCCACAUAAACACUUCCAAUUUCAUGCAAUAAUUCAAUUAAGUCAUUUAAUCACUAAUUAGACACACUUUGCAUUUUUCUCAAUUUAGUCCUAAAAUUUCAAUUAAGCACUAAAGUAUUAAAAUUUCCUAUCCAUAUUUUCACACAAUAUUUCAAUCAAUCAGUAACUAAUAAAAAUUUAUAAAAUUAAACUAUUUCACUUCGGAUUUGUGGUUACGAAACCACUAUUCCGAUUAGGCCCUAUUUCGGGCUAUCACAAUUCUCCCCCUUAGGGAUUUUCGUCCCCGAAAAUCUUACCAGUGAAUAAGUUGGGAUACUGUUUCCUCAUAGCCUCCUCGGUUUCCCAUGUUGCCUCUUCCACCCCAUGUCGUUGCCAUAACACUUUCACUAAAGCAAUUUCUUUGUUUCUCAACUGUUUCACUUCUCGUGCCAAGAUUCGAAUCGGUUCUUCUUCGUAUGUCAUAUCCGAUCGAAUUUCCACUUCAGUCGGUGAAAUCACAUGUGAUGGGUCCGAUCGAUAUCGCCUCAACAUAGAAACAUGAAACACAUUAUGAAUUCUUUCCAAUUCCGGUGGUAAAGACAAUCGAUAAGCCACUGGACCAAUUCUUUCUAUCACUUCAUACGGACCAAUAAAUCUUGGACUUAAUUUGCCUUUACGGCCAAAUCUCAAAAUUUUCUUCCAUGGAGACACUUUCAAAAAUACUUUAUCUCCCACUUGAAACUCAAUCUCUUUUCUUUUCAAGUCCGCAUACGACUUCUGUCGAUCCGAUGCAGCUUUCAAACAAUCACGGAUUAUCUUCACUUUGUCUUCGGUUUCUUUUACCAAAUCGACUCCAUGUAACUGAUUUUCAUUAAGUUCAGUCCAAUAUAAUGGAGUCCGACACUUUCGUCCAUACAACGCUUCAUAAGGUGCCAUUUUUAUGCUUGACUGAUAACUAUUAUUAUAAGCAAAUUCCACCAAAGGUAAAUAUCUUUCCCAAUUACCUUCAAAUUCCAAAACACAACAUCUCAACAUGUCUUCGAGUAUUUGAAUUACUCUUUCAGACUGUCCAUCGGUUUGGGGAUGGAAUGCUGUACUAAAAUUCAAUUUAGUACCCAAUGCCUCUUGUAAUUUCUUCCAAAACCUUGAAGUAAAUCGUGGAUCUCUAUCAGAUAUAAUAGACAUAGGUACACCAUGUAAUCGGACUAUCUCAGCAAUAUACAAUUCAGCUAACUUAUCAAGUGAAAAACUCAUUCGCACAGGAAUGAAAUGAGCCGACUUAGUCAAUCGAUCAACUAUAACCCAAAUUGAGUCUUUCUUUUUCGGUGACAAUGGCAAUCCAGAAACAAAAUCCAUAGUAAUUCUAUCCCAUUUCCACUCGGGCACCAUAAUAGGUUGAAGUAAUCCUGAAGGUACUUGGUGUUCAGCUUUUACUUGUUGGCACACUAAACACUUUGUCACAUACUCGGAGAUAUCCCGUUUCAUACCCGACCACCAAUAAAAUUUCUUCAAAUCAUUGUACAUUUUUACACUACCGGGGUGAACUGCCAAAUGACUAUCAUGUGCUUCUUGCAAAAUUUUCUGAAUUAAAUCAACAUUUUUCGGAACACAUAUUCUAUCACGAAACAUUAAACAUCCAUCUGAAUCAAUCUGAAAAUCAGAAUUAUUGUCCACUGCACACUGAGUCUUUCUUCUUUGCAAUUCAUUAUCCACUUUCUGAGCCUCACAAAUUUCUUGAAGAAACAAUGGUCUAGCUUUUAACUCUGCAAACAAUGAUCCAUCUUCAGUCAAUGUUAAUCUCGUAUUCAAAGCUCUCAAAGCAAAGAGACACUUUCUGCUCAAAGCAUCAGCAACUAUAUUAGCUUUUCCCGGAUGAUAAUCUAUCACAAGUUCAUAAUCUUUCAACAAUUCCAACCAUCUUCUUUGCCGCAAAUUCAGAUCUUUUUGUGUCAUAACAUAUUUCAAACUUUUAUGAUCUGUAAAAACACGACAUUUCUCACCAUAUAAAUAAUGACGCCAAAUCUUCAAAGCAAAGACAAUAGCAGCCAACUCUAAAUCAUGGGUAGGAUAAUUUCGUUCAUGCGGUUUCAAUUGUCGAGAAGCAUACGCUAUCACCUUUCCUUCUUGCAUCAAUACACAUCCAAGCCCAUUUAGUGACGCGUCACUAUAAACAACAAAUUCCUUUCCUGACUCAGGUUGCACUAACACUGGUGCCUCAGUUAAACACUUCUUUAAUUUCUCAAAACUUUGUUGACACUCCUCGGUCCAUUCGAACUUAACAUCUUUUUGCAACAAUUUUGUCAUCGGUGAAGCUAUCAUCGAAAAACCUUCUACAAAUCGACGAUAAUAUCCGGCUAAGCCCAGAAAACUCCUGACUUCAGAUACAUUUCUUGGAGGCUUCCACUCAAUUAUUGCCGAUAUCUUAUUCGGAUCCACUCGAAUGCCAUCUCCCGAGACAAUAUGCCCCAAAAAUCCAACUUCACUAAGCCAAAAUUCACUUUUGCUAAAUUUAGCAAACAAUUUCUUUUCUCGCAGCGUUUGUAGCACAAUUCUUAAAUGUUCAGCAUGCUCGGCUUCACUUCGGGAAUAAAUAAGAAUAUCAUCUAUAAACACCACAACAAAUUUAUCCAAAUAGGGCCGGAAAAUUCGAUUCAUCAAAUCCAUAAAAAUAGCUGGAGCAUUAGUCAGACCAAAAGGCAUUACAAGAAAUUCAUAGUGGCCAUAUCGGGUUCUGAAAGCAGUCUUUGGCACAUCUGACUCUUUAACCCUCAAUUGAUAAUAUCCGGAUCUCAAAUCAAUUUUGGAAAACACUGUGGCAUCCUUUAACUGAUCAAACAAGUCAUCUAUUCGGGGUAAUGGAUACUUAUUCUUCACUGUCACUUUGUUAAGUUGACGAUAAUCAAUACACAAUCUCAAUGUCCCAUCCUUUUUCUUCACAAAUAGCACGGGAGCACCCCACGGAGAGUAACUUGGUCUAACAAAUCCUUUAUCUGUCAGCUCUUGUAAUUGCACUUUUAAUUCUUUUAAUUCAGUUGGUGCCAUUCUGUAGGGAGCAAUCGAUAUUGGAGCAGUACCUGGCAUUACUUCAAUACCAAACUCUACUUCUCUAAUCGGAGGCAAACCUGGCAACUCUUCUGGGAACACAUCUACAUAUUCACAUACCACUGGCACUGAUUCGAUCUUUAUUUCAGACACUUUUGUGUUCAACACAUAAGCAAGAUAUGCUUCACAACCAUUUUUCAAACAUUUCUGAGCAGACAUGGCAGAAAUCACAAUUGGCAUCACAUUUGACUUAUCUGUUUCAACCCGAAGAACUGUACCACUACCACACUUCAACUCAAGAAUUUUCUGACUGCAAUCUAUCUUGGCCUUAUGUAAUGUCAACCAAUCCAUUCCCAAAAUAACAUCAAAUUCAUCAAAUGGCAACAACAUUAAGUUGGCAGGGAAACACUGACCUUGUAUAAUCAAAGGACAAUUUUUGCAUAUUUUAUCAACUAUCAUAUGCUUGCCUAAAGGAUUCGACACUUUAACCACAUACUCAGUCAAUUCAACACACAAAUUCUUAUCAGACACUAAAUUCAUGCAUACAUACGAGUGAGUAGAACCAGGAUCAAUCAAUGCAAGAACAUUAGUGUCGUAAAGAGAAAAUAUACCAGUGAUCACAUCAGGAGAAGAUGCUUCCUCUCUAGCUCGGAUGGCAUAAGCUCUUGCUGGAGCUCCCACUUCAGAUCUUACAGUCGUGUCUUUUGUUACGCCUCUACCACUAGUUCCAAUCCCCACAUUUCUCUGUGGUCUUCCUCUAGUAGUCACACUGCUCGAUCUCACAUUCUGAAACUUUUCUAUCUCUUCUCUUUCCGGACAAUCUUUCACAAAAUGAUCUUGAGAUCCACAUUUAAAACAAGCUCGGCUGAUUAAAUAACAUUCCCCCAAAUGUCGUUUUCCACAAUGUUGACAUUCCGGUCUAGUAGGUUUAACACUACCUGUACUUGCCAUAGAAGUUGCCUGAGCUUUAGAACCUGAAUAUUGUCUUCCUCGAUCUCUUUGAAAAUUCACACUAGAAACAUUCGAUCGAGUAUUCAUUUCUUUAAACUUCUUCGCUUGAGACUGAAAUGGCUUGCCCAUUGAUCUUUUUCUUUCAUCUCUUGCUUCACUUUCCACCUUUCUUUUCUCUUUGCUCAAUUCUUCAGCCUUGAUAGCUCUUUCAACUAGUACCACUAACUCUUUAAUUUCAAGAAUUCCCACUAGCAAUCGGAUAUCCUCGUUUAAUCCAUCUUCAAACCUUUUACACAAUGUAGCUUCAUUAGAUACACACUCUUGGGCAUACUUGCUUAAUUUGACAAAUUCUCGCUCAUAUUCGGCUACCGUCAUGCGCCCUUGUUUCAAUUCAAGAAACUCUUUUCUUUUUUGAUCAAUGAAACGCUGACUCACAUACUUCUUCCGGAAUUCUUCUUGAAAGAAGUCCCAUGUAACUUUCUCUUUAGGCACCACUGACACUAAAGUUUUCCACCAAUUAUAAGCCGAAUCCCUCAGCAAUGAGAUAGCACAUUUGAGACUUUCUUCUGGAGUACAAGAUAAUUCAUCCAACACUCUGAUAGUAUUAUCAAGCCAGAACUCUGCUCUUUCAGGAUCAUCAUUUACAUUAGCUCGGAACUCUUCGGCUCCAUACUUUCGAAUUUUGUCCACUGGAGGCUUUGACAAUUUUAACACUUCAGUUUGUUGAGGAGCUAUGGGAACAGCUUGAGGAAUAGGAGGGGGCGGAGGAGGUUGAGCAUUAGGAUUAGUUCUAACAAACUCAGUGUACCAAUUGUUCAUCAUUUGGAGAAAAGCUUCUCGAGCCUCAUCUCCUUGACCCUGAGUCUCGAAUCGACUUUCAACAGGCACAUUACUUUGAGCAUCAUCAGCUGUAUCUCGGUUAGAAUCCAUUACUAUAAAAAAAACAUUUUAAGAUGUCAGGAGUCGUCACACUAUCAUUAUUCAAUUAUGGCAUGUAUAGAUAGUCUAUUACACUCGCUACGUUAGUCCGAGAAUCGACUAAACCGUAGCUCUGAUACCACUAAAUGUAACACCCCUUACCCGAGACCGUCUCCGGAAUCGAGUACGAGAUGUCAUCCAAUUUAACUUACCGAUUCAGAGCAUAAAUAUUUGCUUUUAAAAUUAAAUUCACUGUUCAUAACAACACUGUCCACCUGCGCAACUGUCACUAAUUUAAUUAUAACUUGAGUUGCGAAACUCAAAAUUUAAAUCCGUAAAUUUUCCGUGAAACUAGACUCAUAUUCCUACUUACCAUAAAAGUUUCAGAAUUUUUGACUUAGCACAUUAGUACAGUUUAUUCAUUAAAGUAUCCCCUGUUUCACAGCUCGACAGAUCUGACCUCUUGGCGCUAAAAAUCAAAUAUCUAAUUGUACAGAAUUCAUAUAAGGUUACCAUUAAUUUAUUUUGAAAAUAGACUCACUAAGGAAUCUAAACAUAUAAAUUAUGACCUAUAAUUAUUUCUGUACAAUUUAUAAUGAUUUUCUAAAGUUAGAACAGGGGACUUCAAAAAACCAUUCUGACCCUGUCUCACUAAAAUUUAAAUAUCUCAAAAUAUAAAAUUCCUUUGCCUACACCGUUUCUUUCAUUUAAAAAUAGACUUGAUAAGCUUUAAUUCUAUAUAUCAUUCACCCUCUAAUUCCAUUUCUACUAUUUAUGGUGAUUUUUCACAUUCACGUCACUGCUGCUGUCAAAGAAACUGCUUCUUUGAAUUAGUUACCAUUUAAACAUACAUAACUCCAAAACAUAUUCUUUAAUAACUACUUCAAUAGCUAACAUUAGCCAUAUCAUUUGGACAUGCUCAAAAUGAUUAAGACUCUAUACAUGCCAUAGUUUAAACAUUUUGAAAAGCACAUAAUACCGAGAUGGUUAUGAUAGUGUGAUACGAGCUCCGACGGUCCACUAUUCGAUCAAGUUCAAAUCACUAUAAAACAAAGGAAAGAAAGAGAUGUGUAAGCUAUAAAUAGCUUAGUAAGUUACAUGUAAACAAUAAUUACUCAAUUAAUAAUUAACACUUUUAACAUAUAACUAAUCAAAAUAUUUCUUAGCAAUUUCAAUCACUUACACAUACACAAUCUUACCAAUUCACUUGCAUAUACAUUUUCACACUUAACAUUUCAUAUUCACUUUAAUUCAUUAUUAAUCCCGUUGAACACUUGGAAUAUACACGGAUACGUAGAGAUUUAGCACAUAAGUGCCACACUGAUAUGUAGCCGAAGCUACCACUGAUAUGUAGCCGAAGCUACCACUGGAUGUAGCCAAAGCUACCACUGAAAUGUAGCCGAAGCUACCACUGAUCAAUAACACUGGAAAUGUCCACGGGUCUGCUCACACAAGCUGUCAGGUGUCUGCAACACAUGCUAGAUCACCCAGCACCCGGGACUCACUGUAACACUGUAACACUGGUCUCUAGUGACAUGUCACUUGUAUCCAAUUCUAUUCCUAAGUUCAACCGGGAAUUUACACUUAACACUUUAUUUUCAACACUUUAUCACUUGAAUAAUUCAUGAACAACUUUCCUUCCACAUUCAAUAUUAAUUCACAUAUCAAAUAUAAUUCACAAUUUAUACAAAUAUAACUAUUAUUUACAUAUAACUUACCUCGGAUGCAAAACGACUAUUUUUGUAAUUUAGUCGAUAACUUUCUCUUUUCCCCGAUCACUUGCACUAUUUCUUCUUUCUUGAUAAUUGAGCUUAGGAAAAUCAAAACCCUUAACUAUGGUAACCUGAAACUUUCGGCAGCAAGCUUCUGAUUUUUU
rnacentral:lncRNA from 1 species